rnacentral:rRNA from 1 species
UACGUAGGGGGCAAGCGUUGUCCGGAAUCAUUGGGCGUAAAGAGCGUGUAGGCGGUCCGGUCAGUCGGUUGUGAAAGUCAAGGGCUCAACCCUUGAAUGCCGGCCGAUACUGCCGGGCUAGAGUCCGGAAGAGGUGAGUGGAAUUCCUGGUGUAGCGGUGAAUGCGCAGAUAUCAGGAGGAACACCGAUGGCGAAGGCAGCUCGCUGGGACGGUACUGACGCUGAGGACGAAGACGUGGGGGAGCAAACA